UACGUAGGCAGCGAGCGUUGUUCGGAGUUACUGGGCGUAAAGAGUGCGUAGGCGGUUUUCUAAGUUUGGUGUGAAAUCUCCCGGCUCAACUGGGAGGGUGCGCCGAAGACUGAAAGGCUUGAGUAUGGGAGAGGUAAGCGGAAUUCCUGGUGUAGCGGUGAAAUGCGUAGAUAUCAGGAGGAACACCUGCGGUGUAGACGGCUUACUGGACCAUAACUGACGCUGAGGCACGAAAGCGUGGGUAGCAAACAGG
rnacentral:rRNA from 1 species